rnacentral:lncRNA from 1 species
UACAACGUCCUUGUAAAUAUAGAAUUGAUACAUAUCUAAAAAAAACUACUUAAUAAAAUUGUAUAAUAUUGCUAUCUCCCUGGCCCACCCAACUGAUCAACUUCCGCAUUAUCUAUUAUUGGUUCCAUUGAUUUCGGUUCAAAAUACAAACUAUCAUUCUCUUUCAAUCCUUCCAUCGGCUACUUCCUCAACUAGGCUAAAACAUCUUCAUUAUACUCUCCUGAUUCAUAGACUUGAGCCUCCUAUUUCAAGAUUUAGGCAUCUCUUAAUUCCAAUUGGUAUUGAUGCUGACUCAUCUAUUCUUGAACUUCAAAAAAUUAACAUCAUCAAUACUUAUGACUGACCAAUAUUGACUAAAUCAUAUAC